GACGAACGCUGGCGGCGUGCUUAACACAUGCAAGUCGAACGGAAAGGCCCGGCUUUUGUGGGGUGCUCGAGUGGCGAACGGGGGAGUAACACGUGAGGAACCUGUACUUGACUGUGGGAGAACUUCAGGAAACUGGGGCUAAUACCGGGUAGGAGCUCCUGCUGCGCGUGGGGGGUUGGAAAGAGUCGGCGGUGGGGGCUGGACUCGCGGCUUAUGCGCUGGAUGGUCGGGUAGUGGCUUUCCAAGGCUUUGACGGGUAGCCGGCCUGAGAGGGUGACCAGCCACAUUGGGACUGAGGUACGCACCAGACUCCUACGUGACGCAGCAGUGGGGAACAUGACACAAUGGGCGGACGCCUGAUGCAGCAACGCCGCGUGCGGGAUGACGUCCUUCGGGUUGUAAACCGCUUUCGCCUGUGACGAAGCGUGAGUGACGGUACUUGGUAAAGAAGCACCGGCUAACUACGUG
rnacentral:rRNA from 1 species